AGCCAGGUGUCCAGUCCGGCCCUCUACUGUGUAACAGCCAGGUGUCCAGUCCGGCCCUCUACUGUGUAACAGCCAGGUGUCCAGUCCGGCCCUCUACUGUGUAACAGCUAGGUGUCCAGGACGGCCUCUACUGUGUAACAGCCAGGUGUCCAGUCCGGCCCUACUGUGUAACAGCCAGGUGUCAG